GUGAAGUUCAUGGUAAAAUUAAUGGUAAUAGUUUAAAUAUUGUCUGCAGUUUACAAUUAUACUUUUUAUGUUAGUAUAUUUAUAUAUGUAUUGUACAGUAUUAAAUUUUGACAACGCUCAUUAUUAAAAUGUUAUUAAACCUUUUGACCUUCAACUAUUGGUUUUCUUAUCAAGAUGAUUAAAUCUAGGGUUUGACAUCCAGUUUAAGAAAAAAGACAGGGUCUAAGCUCUAUGUUAAUAUUUAAUGACCCUGAGUCUAGAGUUGUUUUACAUAGAUUAAAUAGAUCUUCUAUCCACAUUAAAUCCUAUAAAUUACAAAAGCAUGGAGAUGAAACAAAAUACUGCCAAGAUUCCUUUAAGACUUGUUUCUGAAUCCACUAUUU
rnacentral:lncRNA from 1 species